CACGUAGUUAGCCGGAGCUUAUUCUUUGGGUACCGUCAUUGUUUUCGUCCCCAAUUAAAGAUCUUUACAACCCGAAGGCCUUCUUCAAUCACGCGGCGUUGCCGCGUCAGGGUUGCCCCCAUUGCGCAAUAUUCCCCACUGCUGCCUCCCGUAGGAGUCUGGGCCGUGUCUCAGUCCCAAUGUGGCCGUUCAACCUCUCAGUCCGGCUACUGAUCGUCGCCUUGGUGGGCCGUUACCCCGCAACUAGCUAAUCAGACGCGAGCUCAUCCAAAGGCAAUAAAUCUUGGCAGCAAAAUCAUGCGAUCUCACUGCGUUAUGCGGUAUUAGCAGCCGUUUCGGCUGUUAUCCCCCACUAAGGGCAGAUUGCUCACGCGUUACUCACCCGUCGCCACUAACUUAUGAACUUCCGACUCCCGAAAGUACGUUUACCAAAAUACGUCCGUUCGACUUGCAUGUGUUAGGCACGCCGCAGCGUUCAUCCUGACGCCAGGACUACGAAACUCUA
rnacentral:rRNA from 1 species